GUAGGUGGCAAGCGUUGUCCGGAAUUAUUGGGCGUAAAGCGCGCGCAGGCGGUCCUUUAAGUCUGAUGUGAAAGCCCACGGCUCAACCGUGGAGGGUCAUUGGAAACUGGGGGACUUGAGUACAGAAGAGGAAAGCGGAAUUCCAAGUGUAGCGGUGAAAUGCGUAGAGAUUUGGAGGAACACCAGUGGCGAAGGCGGCUUUCUGGUCUGUAACUGACGCUGAGGCGCGAAAGCGUGGGGAGCAAACAGGGAUUAGAUACCCUGGUAGUCCACGCCGUAAACGAUGAGUGCUAAGUGUUAGGGGGUUUCCCGCCCCUUAGUGCUGCAGCUAACGCAUUAAGCACUCCGCCUGGGGAUACGGCCCGCAAGGCUG
rnacentral:rRNA from 1 species